rnacentral:sRNA from 2 species
CCAAAUUCUCACAUACACCGACACAUCAUUCGGGUGCUCUCGAUCUUUCUGGGGAACAGAAAGUUAAGGGGUUGGACGAUGGGGCGUAUGGAGGCCUAAC